rnacentral:lncRNA from 1 species
CAAACUUACCUUUUUGCAGAGCAAGCUGAUAAACCAAGGGGAAUUUUACCUUUAUAUGCUACCGCAGCACUGAUGAGAUGAUUCUUCUGAGAAAGCAUUCUCUGGAGAGCAUCCAUCUGUUCUACAUUAAAUGGGUAGCGGUCAGUAGAGUAUCUUCAGAGGUUGUAUGAUUCCCUUGGUGGUCGUUGGGGUUUUCAAACUUGGAGGGCUUUCUGUCACCAGGUCUUCCAUGAAGUUUCCAGCAUUUUUCGCGUAUGUGAUCGGGUUUCCUGCAGUGGUCACACCACGGUCGUCCCCUCUUCCCACGAGAAACCAGUGUUCUGGUUGUAAGCACAGAAGCAUUUUAGAUUAGGUGAGUGGAUUGCGUGUCUUCCAUCAUUACUUUCUUUCGGCUUCUUCUCGCCGAAUCUCGGAGAACACUUCGCGGAUGCUUGGCAGCGGUUUGAUUCCCAAUACUCGUUCUCGCACUUCAUUCAGGUUUUUGUUUAAUCCCAUUAAGAACUUGAAAAUUCGUUUCUGCUCAAUAAUCGAUUUAAAGAGUUUGACAUCUUCGGGACAGCUCCAACGAUAUUCUUCAAUCACGUCAAGUUGGUACCAGCUGCGAGUUAGAGUAUUGUAAUACUGGGUUACGUUUAACUCACCUUGUUGCAGGUCAUG